CUACCUCCCAGAGACCAGAGAAUGUACCGUCAGAUGCUACGCCUAGGCUGCUUGGCUCUCCGGCGUGGGUGACAGGAGUGGGCCCAGUGUGCUUGACGUGGUGGAGUCACCCAAGAUCCGGCAGGGUGGAGGUCAGGGAAUGAAAAUGAGGCCUUCGGGGCAGGUUCUCUCACUCUCCUGCCUCUCCCCCUGCCCUCUAGCCCCUGGGAGGCCUCAGCCACUUCACUCCACCAACGCCCCCUUCGUAAGAACCUUCCACCCAGUCCAACUCUGUUAUCUGUAACAGACUCCUAAAUAUGCCGCGUGCAUUCCACAUUUGGCUAAUGCCAUUCCCUUCAAUUUACCUUUACUUUCUCUACAAAUGUCUCAGACCCUGGCUGCUCUCCCAGGCUCAGAUCAAAUCCAUUCCACUUCCACAAAACUGUCUUGGUCUCCAGCCCCAUAAGCCCCUGAAAUCCCAAACAUUUACUAACCUGUUACAUUCCCCAGUUGGCCUUUAGGUAUUCUGCACUCCACAGCAGUCCUACAACAAUGCAGGUAUGCAUGCAUUCGCCCAUCCAUCCAUGCAUCCACCCAUCCAUGCAACUACUCACCCAUCCAUGCAUCCACUCAAUAAAUAUUAUCGAUCACCUGCCAUAUGCCGGGUACUGUCCCACCACUUCCCUUGUCCAUUCUCUUCCCAUCUCCAAGAUGACUAUUUCCCACCUCCUACUCUCCCUCAAACCUCUACCACUCACUCCCUCAGCAAUCUCACCCAGUCUCAUAGCAUUAGGUACCACCUUAGUCACUGAGACCCGCCCUGACCUCUCUCCUACACUCCAGGUUCCAACACCCAAUACCAUCUCCACUUGGGUGUCUAACGGGCAACUUAGUGUAGCCAAAUCAGAACUCCAGAUCCCACAAAAAACCCUAUGGCCCGCUUCUCCCAGUUUUUCCCAUCUCAGUAAAUGAUUCACCCAUCUGUGCAAGCCACAAACUUCGGAGUCAUCUUUGUCUCCUCUUCGUUUUGCUCCAUCCCGCCAUGUCCAUCCAGCAGCAGACUAUUGGCUCUACCUUCAAAACCUGCUGCCUCUCUGCCCUCCACACUACAGCGCUAGUCCAAGCCCCUGUGGUUCCAGUGGGACAAGACAGCCUCCAGUAGGUCGACCUGCUGCCACUCUUGGCUCUGUAUAUUCUUUGCACAACAGCCAGAGUGAUAGUUUUAAAACACAAGACCACGAGAGAACCCUCCAAAGGCCGCUGAACAUCCCCUAUUGGAUUUCCUGCUACGUCCUCAGGGCAUACAAGCCCUCCAUGAUCCGGCCUCUGCCCGACUUCACCUGUUGCCACUCGCCUCCACCCUCACUGGCUUGCUUGAAAAUUUGUCAAAUGCACCAACACAGGACCUCUGCCCUGGUGGCCCUUCUGCCUGAAAAGCCGCCGCUCCCCUCAAUGACUUACCCGCCUGCCUGGCACUCCUCUCCCUCCUACCCCUUCAGAGCACUUAUCACAACCUAACAUUGCUUUAAAUAUUUAUUUUGUUCAUUUUUCACCUGUUUCCUCCAUCAGAAGAUCAACUCCACAAAAGCAAGGAUUUGGCUAUUUGGUUUGAUGCUGUAUUCCCAAUGCUAAAAUAAUGCAGAGACAGGGUCGGGCCCAGUGGCUGAGUGGUUAAGUUCACGCACUCCACUUCGGCGGCUUAGGGUUUGCCAGUUCAGAUCCCGGGUGUGGAGCUAUACGCCACUCAUCAAGUCAUGCUAUGGCAGCAUCCCACAUACGAAGCGGAGGAGGAUUGGCACAGAUGUUAGCUCAGGGCCAAUCUUCCUCUCCAAAAUAAUAAUAACAAUAAUGCUGGUACAUAGCAAGGACUUGAUAAAUAUCUACUGAAUGAAUGAAUGAGUCCUGCCUAGUUGUUUCCUUACUAGAUAUGUCUGAUCUCCCCUCACCUGAGGUUGAGCAGCCUAUGACCAGGGGCAGCAUCGUGUUCAUCCUUUCACCUUCCUACGCCUCCUGGCCCGGGAGCCAGUUACAAGAGCAGGUACAGGCCUGGGAAUGACAAUCAGGCUGCACGAUCAAUGGGAAGUGCUGCCUGGCAUGAUGUGACGAGAAGGACCCGGAGGCCAGUCUAGGUAUAGCAUUAUCGAUUUCUGAUGUGGGCCAAGGGCCGGAGGUGGGAAAUAAAAGUGCAGUCUUUGGGGCUGCCAAGCCUGUUAACCCGGGGAUCCUUGAGGCUGGAGAGAAAGCUGAAUUGGCAGGGAAGGGCAGGCCAGUCCUGGCCAGUCCUCAGGUUUGGGAAGCUAAGGAGAUAGGCCACUAACCCACAGGGCAGCAGAUGCCAGUGGGCCCCAGGAUACCAGGUGAUGCUGCCCCAUCAGCCCUCCGCCCCUGGAGAGACCCUCAAGCCCACCAUCUCGGCCAUUACUCCACAGCACUUGUGGCUCAUGCAAGACACAGAAGCUGAGGGGAGCAGCCACUGAGCUAAAUGUCUCUCAGACCUGGGGACAGAGGCAGAAAUGGCCCCACAUAACUUAGAGUGGGCCACUUUGGCCUUUUGAUGUGACUCUUGGCAUCUGAUAAGAGUUCCACAGACACUUAUCCAGGAGGUCUAGCCACUCCUUCCUGCAGGAGACCAGCCUGGAUGUAACAGGAGGGGCAGGCCCUGGGGUGUUCUGCACAGCCAUGCUAUCCCCUUGCUCCCAGCCCCCCACCAGGCACAGAAACAGUCAAGCUGCUGGGGCACAUGCCCUACAUCCCCCUAACCUGGGGCCACCACACUGCCACCUGCUCCUCCCUGCCAGCAGGGUGAACUCCCAGAAGGCCCUCCCUUGCAGUCUCCAUCCUGGCCUGCAGCUCCCUGGCUGGACAGUGCUCCGGCCAGCAGGGGGGCUCGUGGUCACUUGGGGACAGGAAGGCUGAAACCCCUUUUCCUGUUCUUCUCUUUCAAAGUUGGCAGACCUGACCUCUUUCAUAACAUUAUUUUAGUGACCGAAGCACUUUUGCAUCUGAGAUUUUCCGCAACCACUUUGUGGAGCUGGUCUCAAUGGCCCCACUUUCAGGAAAUGGAGGUAUUUGCUCCCUUCUCGCAGUGUAAGCAGCGGCAGGAAAGCCAAAGGCCCCGUUUCCACGCCCAGAGGAGCGAGCCCUCCCGCACCCACGACAGAGCUAGGAAGAAAGAACCAGCCAUGCAAAAGCCAAAAAAGGAACCCUUUCUCUCUCCAGAGAUUAUGAAAUCAAAGAGCAUUUUGUUGCUUCUUGGAAAUUACUCUCCUUAUGACUUGGAGGCCACACAAUUCAACAGGGCUUCCAUCAUCAUCAUCAUCAUCAUUAUUAAAACAUUUGGUUUAGUUCUCGCCUCCUUUUCGAACUUUCACACAGAGAACACAAGCGUUUACCUGCGCUCACCCAGGACCGGACGAGCAGGUCGCGCGGGCUUCCAGCCCCCUCCUUCCCGGGGCUUGGCUGCAAGACUCCCGCAACAUCUCGAAAUCCCCCCAGAUCUGCGCGGUCACUGUGGGAAGGAGGCCGGCUCUGACAAGCCCAGGCAAGCCCAGGCAGAGCCCGCUUCUGGUCCUCCCUCCUGCGCUCACCACCCGGGCCCGGGGAGGGAGAAGCCUCUCGCCCGCCCAGAUCCGGGGAGUCAGCUCGCACCCGGGACGGGGCGCCGGCAUCUCCUCCACCAGAAAAGAAAAAGGGCCAGGUGGGGAAAAGAGGAGCGGGUGGGGGCGGCGCCAGCUCGCGCGGGAUUGGGGUGGCGGCGCAGCGGGCGCCGGGCUCACGUCGGGGGAUGGGGUGUGCUCACUGCCGGAGGCCAGGGCCGCCGCGUCGGGGCGCGCUGCAGGGCAAUGGCGCGCGCCUGGCCGUGGAGCAGGUUUCCCGGGCACAGGGUCCGGGCCCCGUGCCCCUCCACCGCCGCCGCCUGCCCGGGCUGGCGCUUCCCUGGCCAGAGCGCCGACUUUGCGCAGCGCCCCUCGCCUCCGCCCCCCGCCGAGUCCCGGGGCGCGCCUCCCAGAGCCGAUGUCCGGGGCUCCACGGCCAUCGCGACUCUUGCGCAGGCUCCUCGCCUGUCCGCGGCGGGACCGAAGCCCAGGCGGGCCGAGGGGGUCCUGUAAGAAAACAAACGGAAUCCACGGGGACGCUCGCCGCGACGCCCAGCCCCCGGGCCUCUCCCCGGGAACAGGGAAGAAGAAACCUGCGUCCCGGGCGCGGGUGACGGACGUGUCCCGGGUCUGGACCUGUCGUCUCCACGACAUUGUCAGCCUGGAGAGCUCAAAGGUCCCACGCAGCCCCAGAUUCAAGGAGAUGAGAAAGGACUUCUAGUGCCAGAAACGGGCACCCCACGCGGCCACCGCCUGCCGGCCCGGCGCCCCGCCCCCACUCACCGCGCCCCCAAGUUCCGGCGCUGCGGGCCGCUGGGGUGACACCGUUCCGUGCGGCCCGGGGCGCAGGAGCAGGCGUGGGGCACGGCCGAGGCGCGGCGCUGGGGAGCCGGGUGCUCCAGGCGGGGUCCGUGAGCUGGGCAGGGCCCUGGCGAAGCGCCCCGCACCCGCCUAAAGGUUCCCGGAAACAAAAACGCGGACGCGGGUCCCAAACUUGAAGUCGCAGGAAGGCACCCGGCAGCGCGGGAGAUGCGCACCUCCCAUUUCUCGCCGUUUCCGCGCUACCGUGCGCGUGGAGCCGGGCGCCCUCGGGUUUGGUGGGGACGCACGUGCAGGGGCGGCCCUGCAGACCCCGCCCCCCGCCCCGCUGUGCGGAGAGGGGUCUCCAGCCGUCAUCCCGCCCCCAAGCAUCACAGAUCCCACCCAGUCCGACCUGGUCGGGACUUCGGGACCUUUGGGAGACAAACCACCACGCAGCCCGCAGCGCCCAGCCACACCGGCCUCUUGCUGAUGUUGGAACAUACCAAGGAGUCCUCUCCUCCUCCCUGAAGCCAAAGAGACAGCACUAGGCCCCUGGGGGCUGACAUGCACCAUCAUUAGUCACCACCUCCUCAUCACCACGCGCAGUGAGAACCAGAGGCUGUAACCAUCAAGCCAGUUUCCAUCCCGGGCCCCCAGAUAACCACAUUAUUCUAUUGAUUAAUCAGAAAGAAGAAAAAAAAGGAAAAGUAACCCAUGCCAGUAGGAAAUGUGGAUUGUUCUAUGGAAGAGAGGGUCAUCCAUUGGAGUGUGGGUUGAAGAGAAUUCCAAACCUGGGCUUUGCGAUCGUGGAGCAGGGAAUGCUGUAGAAACGCCAAGGACGGCUGGGGCCCUUGCAAAACAGGGCAGAUGUUAAAGAGACACAGUAAUUGGUGGACUGGGCUGUCCAUCUAAGGUAAGUCUACUCUAAAAGAUAGCCGAGGCCAACAGAAAAAGAGCUAGAAAGAAAGGCACCCUGAUCCUAGAGUAUAUAAAUAUUUCCACCAUGAGGACCAUGGGGAUGAUUCUCAUGAAUGAUGCAGGUCAGUGUUCUUGGUGGAACCCCUUUUUCUCUACCCAGCCACAUCAACACUCCUCCUCAAUCCUUUUGGCAGACGCUACCAAGUGAUGUACUUGUAGUCAUUGCCCCUUCCAUUGAAGUUAGCUGCGGAUUAGCACCACCCAGGUCUUUCUAGAAAUAGGAAGAAUGCUUAGCACAGCCCUCAGAAAACUGUGUGUUGCAGGCAUCCAGAUUCCUGGCUGAAAGAUAUAAGGCACUCACAGGACUUCUUUGCUGGAGCCGUGUCUCUUCCACUUGCCUAGAGGGAACACCUUGGGAGAGCAGCCACUUUCGGCCUCCAGGGACCUGAAGAAGCCAAGAAAAAAAGCAGUUAUGAAAAGCAAACCAAUUCCAGGGCCAGUUGCACAGGAGGUGGCUUGGAGACCUGGCAGGUCUGCUCAAGUAUCCCUCAGCAGCCUUCACUCCAAAGCGGGAUUUUGCUAGUAGGAACCUCUCCUUCGAGUCAAGGCACUACAGUCUUCAGGAAAUGGCUGAGAGGAGCCUGUGCCUUCCAGGAGCUUAUGUGCACUUGGAUCCCCAAUAGAAUUUGCAAACUUCUAAGGCAGAAGAGAGGGACGAGAUGGCUCAGACACGACACAAUGUGGCGCUCAGGCUGAGCAGAGGUGCUCAGAAGAGGUUCAUUGGUGACCUGAGGUGCCUCUGAACCUACGGGGUGGCCUGGGAGGCCAUCAGGGUGAAGACGAGCAUCAGAGACAAGCUUGGCCCAUUUCACAAUGCUAUCACGAACCAGUCUUAUCUUACUCCUCCCGUUUUGAAGGAAAAAGAAAUUUGUACUUUAAAAAAAAAACAACACUUAUGCUUGGUUCACUCCCUGUUGUGAAAUAAGCACUUAUUUAUUACACUGUUGUGAAAUAAGCGCUUAUUUAUUACACAGAAGGAAGCCUGAUAUCCCUGAGACCUUGAAUGGACCAUUUACAACCUUUGGGCCGCAGGGCAAGGGGACCUUCAGACCACAAAGGGGCGAUGCCUUGCGGUGGCAGGGCCCUUCAGGAGGCAUGAGAAACCCAGGCUACGGCCAUGUCUUAGCGGACCUGGGAGUUUACAAAGUGAAGAAAUAUCAAAACAGGGUUAGAAAAAUGCACAUUUUAAACAUUUAAAAUUUAAAAACAGAACGCUUUUAGCGCACACACACAAUCCAAAUACAAUAGAAUCGUGCUGUUUACUAGAAAUGGUGUAAAAAAUCUGAAGGCCCUUUUUGGACAAGAAGUUCAGGCCAAACACCCCACCCCCCAGCAGAGAGACCCUGAAGCAAGAUGCCCCAAGAAAGCGAGCACCAGGCCUUCAGCGGGCCCUGCAACAGGACCCUGAGCCCCAGGACUGGAUGGGGCAACUAGCGAUGCUUCUAAACUCAAGUGAGCCAGCACCCUGGCCCAAUCUCCAAGUGUCCACUCUUGACCAGGACUUGGCUCAAAGAGGAAGGAGGAAAAGGCAGAACUGGGACCGUCAGCUCUAUCAUUGAGAAGUGUCCCCACGCCUUGUUGCUUUGCCACCCUUCUGUCACACAGUGAAAUGCUGUUGAUUUUUAAAGGCAGGGACCAUAUCCUGUACUGUUCGUACCUACUCGCAGCCCACAUUCUCACAUCAGUGGAUGCCCAAUAAAUGCUUGUUGGGUUGAACCGAAUUAUCAAGAAGGUACCAUCAAGAAUUCUUUGGGGGGCCAGCCCGGUGGCACAGCAGUUAAGUGUGCAUGUUCCGCUUCUCCGUGGCCUGGGGUUCGCCGGUUCGGAUCCCAGGUGCGGACAUGGCACUGCUUGGCACACCAUUCUGUGGUAGGCAUCCCACGUAUAAAGUAGAGGAAGAUGGGUACGAUGUUAGCUCAGGGCCAGGCUUCCUCAGCAAAAAAGAGGAGGACUGACAGUAGUUAGCUCAGGGCUAACCUUCCUCAAAAAAAAAAAAAAAAAAAAGAAUUCUUUGGCAAAUCUAAUGAUUUUACACUGCCAGAGAGUCAAAAAGCUAUAGGUUGCCUAUGGUCCCAUUUGAGACGACCCUUGUCAAAUUUCUUGGUUAACUUUCUCCACUCCUGUCGAGUCAACCUAAACACCACCUACAUCACCACAAGGGGUCUGGGAGCUCCCCUGCUCUGCAGCAAUGACCUCGACAAGCAUUUGCUGUGUACACACGAACAUGUACAACACAGCCUUGUACUGCCCUAAACUGGAAGACUAAGGAGUUAGCACCUGUAUGGUCUACAUAAUCUACGAAACAAGAGCAAUCGAUAAAACGUAUUCUACCAUGGAGAAGAGAGAUAAUCUCAUGAUACAGGAAAACAGGCUGUCUUCUGGAUAAUGGCAGAAAUUCCCCCCGAGUAGCUGAAGGGUCUGAGCACACAGCAUUUUAGCUUCAAGGGUCUUCAAAUCGGUUCUACUCACAACACCAAAUCAAUGUUAAACAAGAGGAACUGUUUGGGAGGAAAGAAGGAACUCACUGGGCACAAAAGUCAGCUGAGAUUCCGAAUAGAAACCCCCAAACAAGGACAGAAAGGCAGACCACCAAGGAGGAGGCUGGUAGGAAAGAAGGGGACCAAACCCAGUGGCUGAUCCAAAGGUCUGGGUUUGCGACCAUCCUUCUGUAACACUCCUCAAGCAAGAGGCAGGCACAAGGCCCAACCCGAAACCCAAAGGUGGCCUGAAGACCUUGCAAAUGGACCAGAAUGCUCAGGUCAGCAUUGCUGGUGGCCCAUCCCAAUUGUCCUUUGGUACCCUGUUCAAGGAUGGCCAGCCUUCCCUGGGAAUAUUGCUAAAUUUCCUCAGAUAACAGAUGUACAAACGACGCAUCAAGCCUACUCAAAGAAAGGAUGACAAUGAAAGCCACAGCGCACCCCUGUAGUGUGUUCAACAGAACUUUAUAAGAGGCCAAAAUGAAAUGUGGAGUGACCUAGGAGAUGACACACAUCCUGAAUGGCAAGGAAAUUUCUAAGUAAACUUUCUGUUUUUACCAGUUGAAAAUUCUUCUGCCUGAACGCAUGGAACUAAAUAAAGCUAAAACCCGGGCUCUGCAAACCACCCAGCUGGGCAGGGAUCACUGGGUCUCCUUCCUGCGUCCUCUGGAGCCCUCUGCUGGAGAAAUUCUGAAUUACAGCACUAAUAACCCACCCGGGAGCCCCCAGACUCAAGGGGCCCGGAUUUCUGAGAAUUGAAAAGAGGAACAACUAUAAGGAAGUCCCAUGUUUUCUCCUCUUGGGACUUUGUGCAGUGAGAGUUGUAAACCAGAGGUGCUGCAAACCUGCUCAAGGGCACUGUUCAGAUCUCAGAGCAGAACUACCUGACGUCCUGUAAAUUAUGCCUCUGGUUCUUAACACCCCAGGUCCGUGUCACCUCCCAGUGCCCAAUUUCCUUACCUUGUCCUACUUCACCUGAGUUGGGGCGCCUGAUGGGUCCAGGGCUGAUGAUUUCAUCCUUGUCCCACAUGCCAGGUCGGAACAUUUUCCAGGGACUCCCAGGUCUGCCCUGAGCGUCCCAUGUCCUUGGGCAAGUCAGUUAAUCUGUGAGCCUCACCAUCCUCAUCUCUGACUCUGGGCCUUGGACCAGAUGAUUUCUAAGUAUCUUGCAUUUGUGGGGUUAAAGUUCACAUGCACAAAAGGAAAGACAGGUUCUGAUCCUUAGUCAGAUCUGCAGAGAAUGAGAAUAGCUGAGAAACUGCUGACUCUGCAUUGGGCGAAAAGCAAAAACAGUCCAUGGGGAAGUGUCAUGGGUCAGGAUCUGGCCCUGGAGCCCUGGGAUCCCAGCAGCACCUGGAGCCUUUUCCUGCCCUCCCCCACCUGCCUCCCUGGUACUCCUUGUCUUCGGGAUUCAGGGUGCUGCCACCUUGCCAAGAGAGCAUCACCAGUGUCCCAUUUCCAGUCGAUGCCCAGGCCCAUCAUUUGUUCUCAAGGCUCUCACCUUUUCUUAUGUCUUAGUCCCCGGAGAAGCCACAGGGACUUGGCUGGCCAGUUGGCUCUGCCUGGAGGGUGCAGGCAGUCCCCUGGAGAGCGGCCUGUCCCCAUGUCCUUGGCAGGAAGACUGGCAGCCGCAGUGCUGUGCCUGUCCCAGGUUGAACAGGAGGGCUCCUGGUGUCAUUCUGGACAGGCCUAAAAAACUAAUGACAUCAGCACAGAGCAGGGUCUGCAGGCCCCACGACCCCUGCCAUCCCCUGCCCCUUCUCCGCUUCGACCUCCCUCCUCCUCCCAGCGCAAUGCAGGCUCCCAGGGCAGCCUCCAAGGUGAAGACACUAACGCGAGCGAUGGGAAGAAGCGGCCGCCAGUGCCAAGGCUGUUCCUGUGGAAGUCCAAGGUCCAGGUCAGUGAGAGGCAACAGUCUCUGAACUGUGUCACACCCGUGAACAUCCCCAGAAGAGCAGGCUCCUGUGCGCAGCGUGACAUCACUUCCCAUCUUGUCGGGAGACAGGGCUUCUGCCAAGGAACCAGCCCCUGGGGACAAGUCGGGCAGCAUUUUCAUGCUGCUGGCAUAAUUGAGACCUGCACCAGAGGCUGCUAUUCAGGGCACAAGGUGCAGUCUGGACCCCCUGGGGCUGCUCUCUCUGUCCCUAGGCCCCUGGCUCCUGCCACCUAAGCCCCUCACAUCACCCAGGAGGGUCAGCAGCUACUGCACCCCACCCACAUUUGCUGGCUCAGCUUCCCUCUGCAGGGGAAGCUGGACUUCCUCUGGAUCCAACCUUAACCUUCCACAACUAACUCCAUGACACUGGGGACAAAACCUUCUCCCACCGCCUUUGUACCCCAAACUGUCUCCAUAGGCUUUCCCAGGAAUCCUGAGUGGGAGCAUUCAAGGGUGUGGUCCCAGAGGGUCCCUUUGCCCUCACCCAAGAGGAUGCCUGAGUUGGGAAUCCUUUCCUUACCCCCCAACUGGAAUGGCAGCCCCGCUUUCCAAACUGGCGUCCACGAUUCAGAGUAGGAAGUCCAAAGCCAGGGCCCUGGACACGGCUUCCCUGGGUUCCUCGCAAAGCCUUCACCCUCCUAACCCUUCCGAGGAGCUGCACAUCUUGUUCUUCUCCCGAGGUUCCCAAAAAUCACGCCCCACACCUGGUGGGUGCUCCAUACAGAAGCAUUUGAGAAAACGGCCCGUCCAAGGAUGCCCGCCCGAAGGCAGUCGGUACAAGAGCUCCGUUUGUCAUCCUUCGCGCCGUGGAAGACUGCCUCCUGCCCCAGCCCUCAACUCCGGUGAAGUAGAGUCGUGAAGAAAUCGUUGUAUAAACAAAGCCAGAGUCUCACUCACGCACCAAUCAGGGACGGGGUCCUGUCUCGGCGCGGGCUGCGCGCAGCCGCCGGGAGGUGGCCGUCGGGACGUGAGCGCGCCGCCGGCAGCCCGGAGCAGUGGUGCAGGGCCCCUGCGCCGCCCGCCGCUGCAGCCCCGCAGCCGCCAGCACUGCUGACUUGGCCCAGGAGGGCGGGGGAGGGCCCGCAGCAGCUUGGGUUCCAACUGUCCCUGCGCAAGGAGACCGAAGAACCGGCAGCACGGGCUCAGCUGGCCAAGGCUGGGGCAGUUGAUGGGGUGCGAGAGGAGAGCGCUAGAGCAGCCCUGAGUCAGCACUGGUGCAUUGCGAGGUGCCCAGGAGCCUCGGACCAAGACCUACACCCCGCUCCGUGCCCCUCCAGCACACCCUCACCUAAUGCCAGGACCAGGCCCGCCUCAUUUUCUCCCCUCAGCAAUUACUGGAUAAUAAUAAUGUGCCCUGCAGCAAGUACUCUGGGGGAUGGAAAGAUAGAGAAUUCUUUUUAAAGACCUAUCACCGCCUAGAUGUUAUUGUGGGGCAGGCACAAGGCCAUGGGGAUCUGACCUGCGGACAGCCAGGGGAAAAUCUUGUCCUCACUGCCCAGUGGUUCUGACAUGGGAAUAGCAGGGUGUGGUGGUUGUCAGCAAUGCGUUGGAUUUUCUGCCUGGCAUGACCUGGGAAAUGCUGGCCCCUCGCCGUCCAGGGCCAGCUCUUGCCUUACCAGCUCCUCCCAAGCUGGCUUUCCUGUUCUGUGGCCUGAGAGAUGAGGGCAUCCAGGGGCCUGCAGGGGCGGAGGCCCUCCCUCCGCCUAUCCACCCCUGAGGGUCUGUGUCACCUUGGCUGCUUCUUCCCCGGCUGUCUUGAGUGGUCCCUUUGGUCCAGACAGCGCCUGCCUGAGGGAAGGAGCUGGGAAACUUGUGGCAGCCUCUCGUUCAGCUCAUCCUGGCAGUGUGUGCAGUUCAUUUCACAAGCUCCAGUGACGUCACAGCGCUGGGCUCAGGGGUCACCUGCUCCCCAUCACAGCACAUUUGUGAAGUUCCUGUCUCACCUGACCUCCCCAUAGGGGACCAGAGACCAGUGGACAUGGACAGGAUGCUGGGGGCCAACAGCAGCAUUUGCUUUGCAGUCAUUGACAAGAGGUCUUUCUCUUGGCUAAUUCCAGAUAUAAAGGAAUUAAUUCCAGAUAUAAAGGAUGAUUAUUUGUCAUCCGGGCUGGGUAGGGAGGCACUGAGUGGGAGAUGAGUGUGCUUGGGCAUGCCAGCCCUGUCCUCCAGCUCCCCAGGGUGGCAAUGCCAUGACACCUCCAUCCUACUGAUGAGGGGAGACUCAUCGUUUGUCCAAACGGCACAUCCUAGCAGCUUCCUAGAGUCGGGGGUCAAGCUCUGCCUGAUGCACACAAAUUCACAGAUAUCACGUGGUGCUGACCUCAAAGACCCCAGGGUGUGGGACCCUGAUGACCUGUCUGGGUGCACUGGACAUGAAAUCUUUCACAUCUAAGGAUGGUAGUCUGAAAAAUUAGAGUUCCGCAUAACAUUCAGGGGGUUCUGCAAACACCCGCCACAGAUUUACGAGCAGAGGUCAAAGAUGGUUUUAAAUAUACAGGGAAUGUAUAAAAAAAUGGGUGGAUCAAGACAAAGGGUUGUGAGGGACAGAAUGGGGACUGCGAAAGUGGCAAGUAGAAAGACACUCCUAAUUAGGGAAAUAGGGGUUGCCUCUCCUAAAUCCUGUAGGGCUCUCCCAGUCUAGGCAACUGUGUUGUCUAAGACCCUAUAAAAUAUUUGUCUAUGAGCCCGCAUUUCUCCAAAUGGCUACGGAAGCUUUGAUUGGAGCACCUCUCACGCCCCAAGGAGCUUCAACACCAGCAGCCCCAGGUGGAGUACAGGCACGGUUCUCUCCAGAUGAGCCUUCAAGUCUGGCUCUACAGCAAGGACCAGAACACAGUGCAGGAACCCAAGGAGGUCACGGUGCAUCGCCAGCCUCGGCCCAGUUGCUGUUUCGGGGCCUUGCCUGGAUAAUUUAUCUGAGGGGUUUGCUGCACACCCUUCAAGCUGAUUUAUUGCAAGACCGAAAGUGGUUUUUUUUUGGUAAAAAGACACAUUUUUGCUUGAGAAGGAAUUUUGAGGAGCUCAGCCCUUCCAGUGCCUGGGACCACCUGGGUAGAUGCCACGUUGGUCCUGCAUAACGUCACCCCCAGUGCAGACCUGGAUCCAAGCACGGCCUGUCUGGAAAUGCCAUGCCAGCAGUGCCAGACUGGGAGCUCUUCCAGGAGGCACCUACUGAGGCAGCAACUGGCUUUGGGGCAGCCCUUUUGCCAGGUGGGGGGGAGUCUGGUCCCAGAGACCAGGGCUCAGGGGCCUUGGGCUGUUUGUGCCUUUCCCCAAAACAAGCUGCUGCCCAAAGUGAGCUUUCUGCUGCCUCUGCGCAAUCUCCAUCUGAAUGAGCCCCUUAUGGAGCACACCCCCAACUGCCUGGCGUCCCAGGCACCAUCAUUCAACACCUACUACUAACACAGAGGAAAUUCAUCCCUUCUGAAAUGCUGCAGCCUCUGCCCCCAUAGUCACAAGUCAAGUCCUUGUUUUGAGUUUCCCUCCAAAGCUCAUCUCAUUAAACCCAAAAAAAAGAAAACCUCCACCCCCAAUUAAUAAGGCAGUGAAGACUGCGUCUGUGUUCCCAGAGUUCAAGGCAGACUGGAAAGAUCACAGUAGAGAUCAGACCCGAAUUCUCCAGCCCAAUUCCACAGGGCUGAAAAGAGCCAGUAACCAGACAACGCACGCACCAAGGCAAGGACCAAGCUUAAACUCCUCAGUAAGUCUGUGGAGUCCCCCGCCCCAAGCAUGUGGGAGAGGGAAACCAACCCAAAGUAAGGUCCUGAUUGCGUUUGGAUAUUGCCUGGGGCUGAGCGCUCCCCAGUCCGAGGUACCCAACGGGCUGACCCCGGGAGUGGGUAUCCCUUCCUCUCUCCUCCUCCUCCUCCUCCUCCACAUACUCCUCCUCCUCCUGCCUCCUCCCCAUGCUGCUGCUGCGGUUCUGCAGUCACUUGAAGGAGAAAGAUUUCGCAGUACGGCAUUCUUAAAGCUGCAGUGUCCAAAUUCUCCUUCAAACCCCAAGUGUCACAGACAUCAGCUCACUUACCGGGGUCCUUUGCAGAGGGUGGGUGGGCAAGGAGAUGGGGGACGGGGAGCUUGGAGAAGCCAGGCGGGCGGGAAUCAGAGACUCAGACUCCAGCAAGGGUAAAGAGGAGAAGCCGACGGCACCGUGGUAGCCUCUGCAGUUGACCAGGUUGCUGGGACUGCAGCAGGACCGCAAUGGAGGAGAAUUUUUUCUUUUAUCAUAAAACCUCCACCAGAAUUUCCUCCACAAACUUAUAUUCAUUGUAGCUUAAUUAAAACAAAGUGCAAACACGAAACCAACAUGAGAAUUAAAAAAAUAAUAAUUCAAACAGCAUUUAAAAAUUAUUUUGAAAAAUGUACUCCUGUUAGCAACUGACUCAGCUUUCCCUACACUGCUCGGCUGGAAAGCCAUGCGGGGAAGGACCUGGAUGAACUUCACGGAGCCCAGAGUUUCUGCAAAGUGCAGGGAGAGGGCCACAGCUUCUUGGAGGAGAAAGCUUUUUAAAAACCCAAAGAAAAGGGGAUAUUUCUGCUCUCUGCCUAGGGAGCAAGUAAAACAAACUGAUCUAGCAUCAAGAAAUCAACACACCCCUCCCUGAAAGUUACCUCUCUCCUCUGCUCUGUGGCCGCCGUCCUGCCUGGAUGCCGGCAAGUUGCAGACUGCUGCUGGGGAGGCAGGACCCGAAAUAAGAAGUGUCAGCUGGGUCCCUGCACCGAAAUGAUGCCGGGAGACAACGCUGCAGGCGGCGGCGGGAUGGUCUCUCCCCCUCCCCCCAGUUUAAUUUAAGCCCCUGACACUGCAAGAUGCCCGCUCCUAAAGACACAUCUCCAGACAACCUCCUCCCUCCCCACACUUCCUCACAACCAGGUCCAACGCUUUGCCCCACCUCCCACAUUUUGUUCACCUGAAGAUGCUUUUCUUGCAAAAAAAAAAAAAGACUGGGAUUGCAGAAUUCUUAAUUCCUUCCUUUCCGGGACCACAUUUUGGAGAAGGUGCGACUUGUUCAGAAGUUUGAGAAUUGCAGCCUGAUGCCCAGGAAGGAGCAGAGGCAACGAGUGACCGUCUGCUUGGCUUCAGACAAGUCCACACCAUCACUUUACUAAAAAAGGACAGAGGUAGACCCAGGGUGAAAAGAAUAGGAAAAUUCCUCUCUGUCCGCUGGCAAAUUUUCAACAGUUUGGGGAAAUCUUUAGUUUUGCUUUCCUUCAAGAAAAUCCCAUUUAUAAAAUCUGCAUGCUUAUGAAAUGUACAAGAUGGCCAGAAAGUGUAAAUUUUGUCCUGACGUGUCUGUGAUUCCUAAACUUUUUGCUCCUGCCUCUAUGUGACUUAAUAUCUUUUAAGAUUGAGACAGGGAUUUAAUUAGGAAAAUUCCAGGAGAGAGGAGCGCUUUAAAUUAAAGAUACGGUUAAAAUAGUGCAUCCUAAUAUAAUCCACAAGAGAGAAUGCAGAAUAGAUGAACCAAAAAGUAGAGAGAGUGAGGAGACAAGAAGGUAUUCCCAGAUUUUGAAUUUAACUCAGAGUCUGAGAAAGGACAAUAAAGGAGAAAGUCGGGGCACCGCAACUAAGACUCCUCUUUUAAAUAAAUUGGUCAGAAGGACCAACUGCAUCAAUUUCGUGUACAUUUCAUUACUGAAGUAAGAGCUGCUGUGUGACUUGUUUCUAAACAG
rnacentral:lncRNA from 1 species